rnacentral:rRNA from 1 species
AUUGAACGCUGGCGGCAGGCAUAACACAUGCAAGUCGAGCGAGCGGCGGACGGGUGAGUAAUGUCUGGGGACUGCCCGAUAGAGGGGGAUAACUACUGGAAACGGUGGCUAAUACCGCAUACUAUCGGAUAACCCAUAUGGGAUUAGCUAGUAGGUGGGGUAAAGGCUCACCUCGGCGACGAUCUCUAGCUGGUCUGAGAGGAUGAUGGGCCGCGCUGGGACUGAGACAGGGCCCAGGGUCCUACGGGGGCAGCAGUGGGGAAUAUGGCACAAUGGGGGCAAGCCUGAUGCAGCCAUGCGGCGUGUAUGAAGAAGGCCUUAGGGUUGUAAAGUACUGGCAGCGGGGAGGCGUUACCCGCAGAAGAAGCACCGGAGAACUCCGUGCCAGCAGCCGCGGUAAUAC